rnacentral:rRNA from 1 species
AACGAACGCUGGCGGCAUGCCUAACACAUGCAAGUCGAACGAACCCUUCGGGGUUAGUGGCGCACGGGUGCGUAACGCGUGGGAAUCUGCCCUUUGCUUCGGAAUAACAGUUAGAAAUGACUGCUAAUACCGGAUGAUGUCUUCGGACCAAAGAUUUAUCGGCAAAGGAUGAGCCCGCGUAGGAUUAGGUAGUUGGUGGGGUAAAGGCCUACCAAGCCGACGAUCCUUAGCUGGUCUGAGAGGAUGAUCAGCCACACUGGGACUGAGACACGGCCCAGACUCCUACGGGAGGCAGCAGUGGGGAAUAUUGGACAAUGGGCGCAAGCCUGAUCCAGCAAUGCCGCGUGAGUGAUGAAGGCCUUCGGGUCGUAAAGCUCUUUUACCAGGGAUGAUAAUGACAGUACCUGG